CUCAAGUUAAUUUUGUUAAUUCUCUUAAUAUGAAUCUUUCUUUAUCUUCUCAUAUUUUUUUAAUAUUGAUAAAUUCGUUCGAUUAAUACGCAUAAAUUUGUUAGUCAAUAACCAAAUUUAGUAUAUAUGGUUUUUCGAAAUAGUUAGCUAGUAAUUUUUCAUAAACUCAAAAUCAAAGGCAACUAAAGAUAAGGUAUAUCUAUGAUCGAAAGUUCUUGGUAUUUUC
rnacentral:lncRNA from 1 species